GUUUUCUUAUCACUUCUAGUAUUUAAAAACUUGAUCCAGUUCAAUUUAAAACUGUUAUCUCAUUCUCUCCAUUCACUCACCCAAGGUGCCUUGAGUAGCAGCCAGAGAGACUUGGAGGAUAGGGAAGAGCAUGCUAAAGGAAUGCCAGCACUUUCAGAUUCAUUCCUCUACUUACUUCAGCACUUGGAGUAGAGAAGGACUGAAUAUAUAUUGGAAAACCACCACACCAAACAGGACGAUAGAGCAAAAAAAACCUACAAAAAAAAAUCCAGGGAACUAAACCACAACCUCUGCAACAAUCGAGAGCAAAAAAGGUCGGACUUGGUCAAUGACAGAAAACUUUUUUCAUGUUUCUUUCCACUUCCAACUUAGGAUCAAUCAAGAAAGCCAAAUGUGCUGCUCACACUAACGUGGUAGCUAGCUUAUCUUCAGCUUCCCCAUACCAAAAACCUCCAGCUAAAGCAUAACUGAAUCCUUCCUUCUUUAUUAACUAAUAAAGUUUUCCCAUUCUCUUGACUGCGUUUAAGUCUCUGCCAAAGACAAGUGAUGGUGGCUGCCUCCCUUGCUACAGAAAGCUCUGAAUAAGUAGCCUUGAUUUAUUCCCAUUUGCAUGGUCUUCAUUUAUUUCCAACAAUCCGAGCUCAUAUACACAUGCCAACAAACACACACAAAAAUAAAUAACUGCAAAAUACGUUUCAUAGUAAAAUACAUAUCCCCAUAAAUGUAUUAUAAGUAAUGCCUUCUGAAAUUUUCUAUUCCAUUACAUAAAAAGUAAAUGUUGGCCCCAAACCAAAAUUAUUUAAUGGCCCAUUAACCAGUACGACUUUUAUAUUGAAAAAUAGGUGUACACAUAUUUUCUAAAGCUUAUUUGACCCCGCGGCCAUCUGUUCACUGAGUAUCUCUUAAGACUUGUUUCCUUAGGACACGCUUGGGGAAGGUUAACUACAUUUUGAAUAGAGAUUACUGGAAGAAUAGAGAUGUGAUUAACAAACAAUCAGAAUAAACACUUGGUUUUUAAUGAAAGGUAUUUAGUUCAAUUUAAAUUAUAUUGAUUAAGAAAUUACAAUUCAGAGAAACAGAAAAAAAUACUAAAAUUGAGAAAGAAAAGAGUUUUAUAAAAUUCUAGUCCUUUCUGAAGCUUAUUUAAAGGUCAUUUAGUUUAACUUUCCUCUCAAUCAACAAUUUUGUUUUCCUGUUCUAGUAUCUAUUAUUAAAAUGGGACUGCUGUUUUAGGCAAAGUAAAUAUAAACAAAGAAUAAACUCCUGUCUAUUAGAAAGUGAAGGGAAAGUGUAAGGGCAAGCACAAAACGAAAAGAGGCUUAAUUUUUUAGGGUUAGGGUUAGUGUUAG
rnacentral:lncRNA from 1 species